rnacentral:lncRNA from 1 species
AUGGCACCGCCCUUCACUUUCGCCUCUCCAGGUGACUCAGGCUCGCUCCCAUCUUUGAUGUGGGGAGGAACAAAGCGAGGAGGAGCCGCGCUCCCACCUCUGCCCGGCUUUUUGCUGAGGUGGCAGCAGCCCAGGGCUCGGGUCCCGGCGGUGCCGCCGAGGGGAACACUCACAUGUCACAGCUUCGGGAGCGCCGCAGAGCUCGGCCCGGGGGGCUUUGGUCAGCGCCGCUGGGGAUUUCUCGUCUUCCAGGGUUUUCUCCUUCUUGGGCACCGCGGGGCGGGCGAGUGGCAGCGCUGGGAUUUGCCUCGGGGGAGGCAGCGAGGGCUCAGCCACCUCUGCAAGAGAAACAGGGUUAGAGCCGAGCCCCCCGACUCACCCGGACCCCCAGACACCGCCCCGAGCUCUGAUUCCCGAGCUCUGACUCCCCAGCUCAUCCCUGGAGCACACUGGGCACCGCGGGGGAUUCGGGCUGCAUCACUCCGCAGCUGCUCACCCCGCUGCAGCUCCAUCCCAAAAACCCUCCCGGGCUCUCACAUUCCUUCUCCAAAAAGCCAAGGGAUCUGGUUACACUCAGCAGCUCAAGCUGGAUUUUUCAUCCCCCUUCCCAUGAAAGGGCCACUGUCUUCCCAGCGGGAGCUGGCUGCCACCUUCCCUCUCCAUCCCAGGGGAAUGUGGGGUGCCUGCUCCAUCCCAUGGGGAAUGUGGGGGGGGGGGGGGGGGGGGGGGGGGGGGGGGGGGGGGGGGGGGGGGGGGGGGGGGGGGGGGGGGGGGGGGGGGGGGGGGGGGGGGGGGGGGGGGGGGGGGGGGGGGGGGGGGGGGGGGGGGGGGGGGGGGGGGGGGGGGGGGGGGGGGGGGGGGGGGGGGGGGGGGGGGGGGGGGGGGGGGGGGAAUGUGGGGUGCCUGCUCCAUCCUACAGGGAAUGUGGGGUGCCUCCUCCAUCCCAUAGGGAAUGUGGGGUGUCUGCUCCAUCCUAUAGGGAAUGUGGGGUGCCUGCUCCAUCCCAUGGGAAUGUGGGGUGCCUGCUCCAUCCCAUGGGAAUGUGGGGUGCCUGCUCCAUCCCAUGGGGAAUAUGGGGUGCCUGCUCCAUCCUAUAGGGAAUGUGGGGUGCCUGCUCCAUCCCAUGGGGAAUAUGGGGUGCCUGCUCCAUCCUAUAGGGAAUGUGGGGUGCCUGCUCCAUCCCAUGGGGAAUAUGGGGUGCCUGCUCCAUCCUAUAGGGAAUGUGGGGUGCCUGCUCCAUCCCAUGGGGAAUAUGGGGUGCCUGCUCCAUCCUAUAGGGAAUGUGGGGUGCCUGCUCCAUCCCAUGGGGAAUAUGGGGUGCCUGCUCCAUCCUAUAGGGAAUGUGGGGUGCCUGCUCCAUCCCAUGGGGAAUAUGGGGUGCCUGCUCCAUCCUAUAGGGAAUGUGGGGUGUCUGCUCCAUCCCAGGGGAAUGUGGGGUCCGUGCUCCAUCCUACAGGGAAUGUGGGGUGCCCAGGGGGGCUCGGUGUGACGCCACACUCCCCCAGCCCCUCCCUCUGCCCAUCCCCCGGAAUAGCAAUGUCUUGCACAACAGGGCUGGAGAGCACUUUAUAUAAAACUAAAUUAUAGGCUGGGCAGAGGGAGGGAGAGCAGAGCCAUAAUUGGCCUGGCUGCAACAGGAGCCCUGCCAGGGAGGGGAGGGGAAGGGGAAAAGGGACCUGGGACACUUCAUUAUCCUCGAUAAAACCAGGAUCCCACACACCAGAGCCGAGGAGGAAGGAGGGCAAUUAGGGAUAAUUAAAAGGAGUAUAAUCAAGGAAGUUGGGGUGUUCCAGCAGCACCCCGGGAUCAGCAGGAGCCUGGAAAUGCUGCAGAGGGACUGCAGCCGGUCUGGAGUGAUGCAGCUCCACAACAUCCCCUAAAGUCAUCCACGUGCCUCAGUUUCCCCUCUGUGCCCUCCCCAGGGUGCUGCAGCUCCUGAGGCAGGGGAGGAAAACUCAUCCCAGCACAGACCCCUGCUCACAGUGAGGCGAUUUUGGGGCUCAGCCAAGGGAAAUCCAGCAGCUGCAGCUGAAUUUUGCACACGAGCAUUGGCUCCAAAUCCCGGUGCAGUGAGAGCACGUGAGCCCCAGAGAGAGAAAAGCCAUUCCCGUGGAAAGCCCGGGGCAAAACGGAGAGGUGAGGAGAGCAGGCUGUCAUCUCCUCAUGGGUGUAGAGGUGUGGGGGUGAAUAACAAUCCACACAUCGCUGAAUGCACAGCCUGUGUCAUGUCCCAACCUGGACUGGCCCGAGUCAGCCCUGACGCAGAGCCAGACAUGAAAUCCUGAGGGGUGAGGAGCUCUGAGGUGUCCCUGGGAAGGAACCAGAGCUCUGGUUUCUGCUGUGAGAUCCCAGAGUGUGUUCAGGGCUUCAAACCCCCCAGAACAGCCACAUCACCCUCAAACCCCCUUCCUGCAGAUCAGUGCUUGGGACAAAGAGCUGGAAAAUCAGGUGCAGCAGCAGGAGAAGGGCUGGCACAGCAGAUCCCUGUCCCUGUCCCUGUCCCUGUCCCUGUCCCUGUCCCUGUCCCUGUCCCUGUCCCUGUCCCUGUCCCUCUGUGCUGCCUCCAGAGCAUCCCUCACCACUCUGUGCCCAUUCCUGGGGACAAGGACGGGCUGGAGCUCUGUGGGAGCUGGCUGGGACAUCCAGGGAGCUGCUCUGACCAGGAUGGAGCCCAGCUCGUCCCUGUCCCGACUGGGAUGGAGCCCAGCUCGUCGCUGCCCCUGUCCCGACUGGGAUGGAGCCCAGCUCGUCCCUGCCGUGUCGACUUCACACCUGUAAUUACCCCGCACAAGGGCUCACACACAACCACAGCCACGCGGAGAGGAA